AUUGAACGCUGGCGGCAGGCCUAACACAUGCAAGUCGAGCGAGCGGCGGACGGGUGAGUAAUGUCUGGGAAACUGCCUGAUGGAGGGGGAUAACUACUGGAAACGGUAGCUAAUACCGCAUACCAUCAGAGGUGCCCAGAUGGGAUUAGCGGGCAGGUUGGGUAACGGCUCACCUAGGCGACGAUCCCUAGCUGGUCUGAGAGGAGGACCAGCCACACUGGAACUGAGACACGGUCCAGAGUCCUACGGUAGGCAGCAGUGGGGAAUAUUGCACAAUGGGCGCAAGCCUGAUGCAGCCAUGCCGCGUGUGUGAAGAAGGCCUUCGGGUUGUAAAGCACUUUCAGCGGGGAGGCGUUACCCGCAGAAGAAGCACCGGCUAACUCCGUGCCAGCAGCCGCGGUAAUAC
rnacentral:rRNA from 1 species